UGACGGGCAGUGGACGAUUAGAGUUUGAUCCUGGCUCAGGACGAACGCUGGCGGCGUGCUUAACACAUGCAAGUCGAACGGAAAGGCCCUGCUUUUGUGGGGUGCUCGAGUGGCGAACGGGUGAGUAACACGUGAGUAACCUGCCCUUGACUUUGGGAUAACUUCAGGAAACUGGGGCUAAUACCGGAUAGGAGCUCCUGCUGCAUGGUGGGGGUUGGAAAGUUUCGGCGGUUGGGGAUGGACUCGCGGCUUAUCAGCUUGUUGGUGGGGUAGUGGCUUACCAAGGCUUUGACGGGUAGCCGGCCUGAGAGGGUGACCGGCCACAUUGGGACUGAGAUACGGCCCAGACUCCUACGGGAGGCAGCAGUGGGGAAUAUUGCACAAUGGGCGGAAGCCUGAUGCAGCAACGCCGCGUGCGGGAUGACGGCCUUCGGGUUGUAAACCGCUUUCGCCUGUGACGAAGCGUGAGUGACGGUAAUGGGUAAAGAAGCACCGGCUAACUACGUGCCAGCAGCCGCGGUGAUACGUAGGGUGCGAGCGUUGUCCGGAUUUAUUGGGCGUAAAGGGCUCGUAGGUGGUUGAUCGCGUCGGAAGUGUAAUCUUGGGGCUUAACCCUGAGCGUGCUUUCGAUACGGGUUGACUUGAGGAAGGUAGGGGAGAAUGGAAUUCCUGGUGGAGCGGUGGAAUGCACAGAUAUCAGGAGGAACACCAGUGGCGAAGGCGGUUCUCUGGGCCUUUCCUGACGCUGAGGAGCGAAAGCGUGGGGAGCGAACAGGCUUAGAUACCCUGGUAGUCCACGCUGUAAACGGUGGGUACUAGGUGUGGGGUCCAUUCCACGGGUUCCGUGCCGUAGCUAACGCUUUAAGUACCCCGCCUGGGGAGUACGGCCGCAAGGCUAAAACUCAAAGGAAUUGACGGGGCCCCGCACAAGCGGCGGAGCAUGCGGAUUAAUUCGAUGCAACGCGUAGAACCUUACCUGGGUUUGACAUGGAUCGGGAGUGCUCAGAGAUGGGUGUGCCUCUUUUGGGGUCGGUUCACAGGUGGUGCAUGGCUGUCGUCAGCUCGUGUCGUGAGAUGUUGGGUUAAGUCCCGCAACGAGCGCAACCCUUGCUCACUGUUGCCAGCACGUUAUGGUGGGGACUCAGUGGAGACCGCCGGGGUCAACUCGGAGGAAGGUGGGGAUGACGUCAAGUCAUCAUGCCCCUUAUGUCCAGGGCUUCACGCAUGCUACAAUGGCUGGUACAGAGAGUGGCGAGCCUGUGAGGGUGAGCGAAUCUCGGAAAGCCGGUCUCAGUUCGGAUUGGGGUCUGCAACUCGACCUCAUGAAGUCGGAGUCGCUAGUAAUCGCAGAUCAGCAACGCUGCGGUGAAUACGUUCCCGGGGCUUGUACACACCGCCCGUCAAGUCAUGAAAGUUGGUAACACCCGAAGCCGGUGGCCUAACCGUUGUGGGGGAGCCGUCGAAGGUGGGACUGGUGAUUAGGACUAAGUCGUAACAAGGUAACCAAGCCGUAGCAAGGUAACCUAGAGUUUGAUCCUGGCUCAGGAAGUCGUAACAAGGUAACC
rnacentral:rRNA from 1 species